rnacentral:snRNA from 1 species
GAAGCAGCACGGAACUAGCUAAGGUCAAGCACUGUAACUGUUCUUAUCAGUUCAAUAUCUGAUAUGUCUUCAACGAAAAGACUUUCUAUUAACCAGAUUUUUGGGGUCAGGAGUUGGAUCUGGAGCUCGUCCUUUUCGCUCUGUGUACUGUUCUGACAUUGUGAACGUGGCAUUGAGGGACACGGUUUCCUGUCAGGACUUUAUAGGUCAG